rnacentral:rRNA from 1 species
UGGGGAAUAUUGGACAAUGGGCGCAAGCCUGAUCCAGCCAUGCCGCGUGAGUGAUGAAGGCCCUAGGGUUGUAAAGCUCUUUCACCGGUGAAGAUAAUGACGGUAACCGGAGAAGAAGCCCCGGCUAACUUCGUGCCAGCAGCCGCGGUAAUACGAAGGGGGCUAGCGUUGUUCGGAUUUACUGGGCGUAAAGCGCACGUAGGCGGACUUUUAAGUCAGGGGUGAAAUCCCGGGGCUCAACCCCGGAACUGCCUUUGAUACUGGAAGUCUGAGUAUGGUAGAGGUGAGUGGAAUUCCGAGUGUAGAGGUGAAAUUCGUAGAUAUUCGGAGGAACACCAGUGGCGAAGGCGGCUCACUGGACCAUUACUGACGCUGAGGUGCGAAAGCGUGGGGAGCAAACAGG